AUAUAAUUAACAAUAAGAUAAUUAAGGUAGUAUUAGGUUAUAUACUUAAAAUCUAAAGAAUUUGACGGUAUUUUAAUAAAAUCAGAGGAACUUGUCAUUUAAUUCGAUAAUCCACGAUAGAAUAUACCUUGUUUUAACUUGUAUACCUCCGUUUUAAUGAGAAUUUUAUAAGAAUAUUUUUUUAAAAUAAUUUAGUAAUAUAAUAAUUCAGGUCAAGGUGUAGUGAAUAGCAGGGGAGAAAGAUGAGUUACAAUAAAAAAAAAUAGUUGUGAAUUUGAUUAUGAGAUUUAAUUAAUGAAAAUGGAUUUGAAGGUAAGAUAAGUUAAUUAACUUAUCUGAUUAAAAUACUAAAAUAUGU
rnacentral:rRNA from 1 species